GUGAACGCUGGCGGUAGGCCUAACGCAUGCAAGUCGAACGGCAGCACCGUAAGAGCUUGCUCUUACGGGUGGCGAGUGGCGGACGGGUGAGGAAUACAUCGGAAUCUACUUUUUCGUGGGGGAUAACGUAGGGAAACUUACGCUAAUACCGCAUACGACCUACGGGUGAAAGCAGGGGAUCUUCGGACCUUGCGCGAUUGAAUGAGCCGAUGUCGGAUUAGCUAGUUGGCGGGGUAAAGGCCCACCAAGGCGACGAUCCGUAGCUGGUCUGAGAGGAUGAUCAGCCACACUGGAACUGAGACACGGUCCAGACUCCUACGGGAGGCAGCAGUGGGGAAUAUUGGACAAUGGGCGCAAGCCUGAUCCAGCCAUACCGCGUGGGUGAAGAAGGCCUUCGGGUUGUAAAGCCCUUUUGUUGGGAAAGAAAAGCAGCAGGUUAAUACCCCGCUGUUCUGACGGUACCCAAAGAAUAAGCACCGGCUAACUUCGUG
rnacentral:rRNA from 1 species